UUUUUUUUUUUUUGUCUUUUUUUGUCUUUUUGCCGCUCCCGCACCAUGUGGAGGUUCCCAGGAUAGGGGUCUAAUCGGAGCUGUAGCCGUCAGCCUACACCAGAGCCACAGCAACGCUGGAUCUGAGCCACACCUGCAACCUCUACCACAGCUCACAGCAACGCCAGAUCCUUAACCCACUGAACAAGGGAUCGGAUCGAACGCACAACCUCAUGGUUCCUAGUCAGAUUCGUUAACCACUGAGCCACAACGGGAACUCCUCUCUUAGCCUUCUUUGGUCCAUUAGUUUUAACCACAAGAAACUGUUGAGAUUUGACUAUAUUUGACCUACAGCACAUGGUCCCACUCAUCACAGAGGUCCCUGGGCUCUGGAUUAAAGGAGCCCCACUUGCCCCCCUUUCAGUCACAUGCUGGGUCUACUCCUACAGUGCGUUUCAAUGCUCAAGGGUAUCCUCAACCUGUCCAGGGUGUCUGUAGCUCAUCUUGGGUUGCCCCUGUCUGCCCAGCUUUGGGAUCGGACACCCUUAAAGGAACUCAGAUGGAAUUCACCCAUGCCUGCAGGGAGAAGCCAGAAUGUGAGAAGAGGUUCAGUCCAGAAGGCAGGACACCUCAAAGGACAAUGACCUGGAUUGAAUCCUGGCUCAACGGCAUGAACACACAAGAGAAGAGGGAGGGGCUGCCUAGAUCUGGGCUGGAGACAUGACAAUCGCAUUAACGCUAGAUCGCACAGGGGUCUAGACCAGGUAAAUAAUCUGAUUGUAGAGAAAGGGAAGCCCCACGUAUUAGAUGAUCCUGGAAAAUUACUCUUGGUGCUGUUCAGCUGACAAGAGCAGUGUGGCUAUGAAGGAGAGAUGCCCUUUUUAUGUUUUAGAAAUGCAUGCUAAAUAUUAUAGGUCAAAAAUGGUUGCGUGGCACUAAUUCAUAUGACUCAACCUCAGAAGAAUGAAACGAUGAGUUGAAUUUGCUUUAAAACACUUCAGUGAAGAAAAAGAAAAAAGGAAGAAAGAAAAAUCUUCACAAUCAUCAAAAAGACUGAUGGGCAGGGUUUGCUUUAUUUACUUAUAUAUGAAAGACUUCAUAAUAAACAUUUUUACACGCUAUGGAUGGUCAAGGUGGCUUCCUGGAAUCAGUGUUAGCUCUGUAGAGCCAUGUACUUGAAAGACCAGCACAACUCUGACCAAAUGCCUUUUGUCCAGGAUGAGAAAAGCCACCUCUCCAUGCUGACUGUCAUCCCUGGCAGCUGAGCACUACGGUAGACAGGAAAGUACUAUCCACAGGUGUGACAAAGAACUACAAGUGCAUAGCUCAGCUACCAGUUUCCUGGUGAGGCCUCUCCCGCCUGCAAGGCCUCUCACCUGGCUCUCAGGGCAGCUCCUCCAAAACCAGCACCAUCCUCGCUCAUACCUUCCACAAGAAGGGAGCCCUGCCUCAGCCUGUGGGUGGGGGGAGGGAUCCUGCAAACUAAUGAAAAUCACCAUGGACAGGAACUCUAGGGGAGUCAUGCAUACUUGGGGACAAUGGGGUACCCAGGCCAUAACAAAUAUGUGCUGAGGAGAAGUGGCCACUGUGGCCACCUGGUACUGUGGUAGUACACACGCACUCGCAUGCAAAGGCAUACAUUUGACCCCAGUGCUCUCUGCCCAAGCUCUCUACACUCUGGCACCUCUCUUUGCAUCUAAGGGCCUUUCCUUUCAAGAUGAGGUCACAGCACCAGUCAGCAGCAACACCAGGCUUCAGGAUCCAGCCCGAGCCCCUUGGCGUGGACACAGGCCCUUGCCAACACCCAUUAUUCUUCCAUGCCAAGCCCUCUGUCUAUUCCCUCCACCCAGUGGAUGCACCUUCCUGAACAACUCAAGGACCACCACUCACAAAGGCUUUCCCUUUGCAGGGCAGACCAUUCCCUCUUCAAGGCACUCACUGUGCCUAGGGUCAAAUGCAGACUGGGCCGAACCUACCAUUUCUAACAAAGCAGCUGCAGUUGGCAAUGGACUCACUUCGACGCCCAGCCCUCUGGGAGCACAGCAAGACAGGGAAGCAGAAGUACGGAGAGGAGGAUGGUACUGACAGCCUGAGAGUCAGUGUGGAGCGGACGAAAGGAAAUGUGAACAGACACAUGAGAGCUCUCAGGCUCACCCUCUGAGCAUUGUGGCCAGGCUUCAGGUCCUGUCUCUGAAGCCCAGUACAGAACCAGGUACAUAGGUGGCAGCGCUCCCUAAUGUGUGACCAGGAGUGGCUAAGCAAGGGGUCAUCCAUUUCCCCACAUUAGAGCUUUAACAAGAGACCACCAAGAUUAGCACGACAAAUACAGAAGAGGAAAGGAAAGGUGGCAUAUAAGAGAAAUCAGAUAGUAAGUGACUAUCCUGAUGGUUGCAGAGUCCAGGAAAUUUACUUUAAAAAAAAACAAAACAACAAACCACACACUCAGAACUGAACACAAAAACAAGAACUCUCUGGUACAACAUCAUAUCUCAGUAAAGCUGUUAGAAAGAUAUCUCUUUUUUGAUUAUGGGAGCUAGACUGAUUGAACUUUGUUCUUCUGUUAAUAUUGGUAUGGUAUUAGUGUUAACUUUUCCCCCAUCAUGCCAAAUCUGGGUAAAGAAAUUAACUUCGUAAAUACAAUUAGAAGUUAUUUCACUUAUUCUGCACUAACCGACAUGGAACUCCCUUUCUCUUAAUCACUAGGAGAGUCUUAAACAUUUGGAGCCAAACCCCAGAAAUCCAAUUUAAAAAAAGGGCUAGCUGAACACUUGCCAGAGCUCCAAUGAAGUUAGCAGCAUCUUAUCUCUUAAUUUUCUUAAAGCAGUACUUAUGCCACAGCUGUACUAACUGAGUGUUCACAAAACCAAAAGAAAAGGCCCACUCAAAUUUUAAACUCACCAUUUUUAGGAACUCCAGGACUGUAUGGAACUCAUUCCUUAUCACAAGGUAAGGGUCAGGAAGCAGAAGAUGAUCUGUUUACCUCGAUAGUCAAGGAUAUGUCAGAAGAGCCUUCCAUGAAUUCUGAAGCAGCCAGGUUCUGAAGACUAGGUAGCAACUCUUUACAACCUUAUAAAUUGACACACGUCAAUGUAUGUAAACACCCGUGAAUCCAUCGAUCAAGAUAAUGAACACAUCUAUCACCCCCAGUCUCUUCCCGCUUUUCUCAUUCCUCCCUCCUUUCUUCCCCUCCCCACAACCACUGAUGUGCUUUUUAAAACCAAACAGGUCACCUCAGCACUUUCUAGAGUUUUAUAUCAAAAGAAUCAUAGAGUACAUACUCUUUUUAUUUUGAGUGCAUCUUUCAUUCAGUGUAUUUUGUUUUUGUUUUUGUUUUUUGUCUUUUUUGCUAUUUCUUUGGGCCGCCCCUGCGGCAUAUGGAGGUUCCCAGGCUAGGGGUCGAAUCGGAGCUGUAGCCACCAGCCUAAGCCAGAGCCACAGCAACACAGGAUCCGAGCCGUGUCUGCAACCUACACCACAGCUCACAGCAACGCCGGAUCGUUAACCCACUGAGCAAGGGCAGGGAUCGAACCCGCGACCUCAUGGUUCCUAGUUGGAUUCGUUAACCACUGCGCCACGAUGGGAACUUCCAUUCAGUGUAUUUUGGAAUGUAUCCAUGUUGCUGUGUGUAUCAAUGGCAUGUUCCUUUUUUUGUUUGGUAGUGUUCUCAACUCUUAAGAUUUUCACCAUAAUUCCAGUGUUUGGAGGAAAUACAAUAAUAGCAACAAUCAAGAAUAAAUAUUCCAACUAGGCAGACCAGAAGGUUUGGAACACCAUCUAUUAUGCAAAGGACUUCUGAAAUUACCUUUCCCUGCCCUUUGAGGGGUAGGGGAAGGGGCUACAAAAGGGUCAAAGGCUCAAAAGAUAACUGCCCCUUUAUUUUAAGGACACUUGGCAAGGCCAUGUCAGUGCUUUUUAUCCCAGGAUCUCAAGGGCUUUGAUAAAUAUCAAUUUCAUUUCAUAAACAAGAAAACAAAUGCUAUUUGAGCCAAUGCAGAACUCAGCAGGCAUCAGCUUGGCCUGCCAUUCUCCCACCCAUCCUGGCCACGACACACAUGUGUUACCUAAACAAACUUUCAGGUAAAACCAACUGUGCAAAACUGGCAGUCAAGACAUAUCAAAAGUGGCUACACAUUGGAAAACAGUCUGGCAGGCCCUGAAAACCACAUGCAGUUGUUUCCAGACCACCCAGUGGUUUCACUGAAGGCUUACACCCACACAGAAACUUGUACACAGAUGUUCACAGCUGCAUUCUUCAUAACAGCUAAAAAUGGAAACAAUCCAAAUGUCCACCAACAGGUAAGAGGAUAAACAAAAUGUGGUCUGUCCACCUAUGGAAUAUUACUCAGUCAUCGAAAGGAAUGGAGCACAUGCAACAUGAAUGAACCUUGAAAACAGGCUCAAUGAAAGAACCAAAGACCACAUACUGUAUGAUUCCACUUAUAUGGAAUCAUACCGAGGAGAUAAAUCCAGAGAGAAAAAACAGCGGUUGCUUGGAAUUGGAGAAGGGAGGACUGACAGACUAAGCGAUGUGGGAUUUCUUUUUACAGUGAUGCAAAUGUCAUAAAAUCAACUGUGGUGGUGGCUGUGCAACUCUGAAUGUACUAAAACCACUGAAUUGCUCACUUUGAAUGGGUGAAGUAUAUGGUACAUGAACUCUAUCUCAAUAAAGCUGUGAAAUGAAAGUGGAUGCAUAGCAUGUGACAAUUCACAGCCACUCAGCCAGUAAGAUAAAAUCAAAAGGCACUCAGAAUAGAAGCUCCAUCAUACAGCUGGUUACACAGACAAGCCUGAAGACAAAUAAGGAAAAUCUUCCCAAAUGUUGUAGGCAGCCAAUGCCUCCAACUGGCACAGGAGAUACUCAAUUUUUUUCCACUUUCUGGUUCUAUUCAGACUCUCCUGCCCCCAAAUCCAAAGCUUCCUCUUGUGACUCCAAGGAUAUUACUCCCCAAAAUACAAAUCCAAAGUUAGGCUACAGAGUUAAAGUAAGGAAGGACAAACCGUUUUGAUGUCAUCAGAAUUCAAAUGAGUUCAACUAUAAUGUUUCCCUCCAGUGGAGUGUUUUAAUGCUCUUAUUUAGUACAGUUCAAUGGUCAGGUGCAGGAAAAGUAAUCAAUUAUUGCAACUAAAAGAGGACACGCCCCCACAAUUAACCGAAAACAGAAACCAAGGACCAAAACUACAACUUGGAGCUGCCCAGGUUUGCUGUUUUAUAGGCUACAGUUUAAAAAGGAUUUGCAAUAAAACAAUUACCUUUCACAACCCUGAGCUACCAUAGGUCAUGACACACUGCUCAACCAAGAGAUUUUUAUCCUCAGCUUCCCGGACAUGGUGGACGCAAAUUAUAGACAACACUAUCAGGUCUAUCCGUUCAUACAGAAGUCCAAUUUCACAUAUGUCUAAAGGUAACCAAAUAAGAGCUGUUACCCCCAUUUUAAAGUUGUGGGAACAAAUCUACAAGGUAUGAAACUACAAGUGUUAUCAAGAGUCUCUGGUGGCUCAUUCAUGUCUCCAUGCAAACUUUCCCCUCUAACUUCCCCAUCAUAUGUAAACAAAACUGAAAAAACAUACAUACAUGCACACCUGUUCUCCCUGAUGCCCCCACCCAUCAAGCAUCUAUUUUUAAGGAAUCUGAGGUUAGAAUGAGUCAAAUGUUUUUUGCUUCUAUUAGGGGCUAAGAGAAAGUCCAAGUGGGUGGUCUACCCAUGGGAGUGACUCAACCAACUACAAUGUAAGCCCCCUUCCCCAGGACAGGGUCUAAGCUCACUCUGGCUGAGGACAGGUUGGCUCCCCAAGAUCUGACGGUGGGUCCUCAUGUCAAGGGACACCUGCAACAAGGCAAGCCCUAUAUCUCCUCCACGGCUGAGAAUUCAGGAAAAUAAAAUCAAAGGAGGUACCAGGCAAAGAAAUGGAAUCUGAGAUUCAGAAGAUGAUGGCUACAUUCCCAAGUGAGCCCAGUUCAAGACCACAGCCAGCCCCCUUGCCCACCCUAGGGCAGGGCCCCAGAUCCAGGAAGUGUAUGCCCAAUACUUCUCAUAACACAAACCCAAAUUUAAAAUAGUCUUCACAUCAUUAAGAACAAAAGUCUCUGACGUGGCAGACCAAUUUAAGUAAAACCCACCACUAUUACCCCGUUGGAGGAACAAACUCAAACCCAACUUUUCCAAGGCAGGGCUGCGGAGUUACGUAACAGGUCGGUUUCAGCAACAGGCAAUGCGAGAAAGAAAAACAAAACGCAAACUGCCUCCUGAAUAAUCUUAAAAGCCAACGAGUAUGGGGUUCACGACUGGAGGCAAAAGUUCCGUUUCUGCUGGGGGAGCCUCGACCCUCCUCUCACCAGCGUCCCUGAGCCCAGGGAAAUCUGAAUCCGCCGCUCAGUGGGCAUAAGAGGGGUAAGGGAGAGUGCUCUGAAGGUUCCGACCACAGGUAAGGGGGUGGGGCAGGGCGGUCGGAUCAGCCAGAGGAGGGGACCGGAGCAGAUCACCGACCCAGCUGGAGAACUCGGGGACAGGUCAUCCCCGACUUGGCCAAAGACAGACCCGGAAGGGGACUUGGGACAGAUCGCGUAAGACCUAGCCUGAACGAGAUCCUGAAAUCACCCGGACGCAACCAGAGCAGGACUUGAGGUAGGUUUGCCUGGAUCCGGCUGGAGAGCGGGAGCCGGGGCAGGUUACUCCGGAGACGUCCUGAAUGGGAGAGACCCCGCCAGGUUACUCCAGGCCCGACUGGAG
ensembl:lncRNA